rnacentral:rRNA from 1 species
UACGUAGGUGGCAAGCGUUAUCCGGAAUUACUGGGCGUAAAGCGUGCGUAGGUGGUUUGUUAAGUCUGUUGUGAAAAGCCCCGGGCUCAACCUGGGAAUGGCAAUGGAUACUGGCAGGCUAGAGUGCGGUAGAGGGGUAGUGGAAUUCCCGGUGUAGCGGUGAAAUGCGUAGAGAUCGGGAGGAACACCAGUGGCGAAGGCGGCUACCUGGACCAGCCACUGACACUGAGGCACGAAAGCGUGGGGAGCAAACAGG